GCAUCGAUGAAGAACGCAGCGAACUGCGAUAAGUAAUGCGAAUUGCAGAAUUCAGCGAGCCAUCGAAUCUUUGAACGCACAUUGCGCCCGCCAGUAUUCUGGCGGGCAUGCCUGUCCGAGCGUCAUUU
rnacentral:rRNA from 1 species